UGGCCCACCACAUAAACCAAAGAAAUUCACUCUUCACCUUAUUGCUCAAAACCCUAACGCAUUUCUCCCAAUUUUAGAAUAAGACUGAAUCAAAUUUUCUCACAAAUUCUUUCAAAUUUGUUGUUUGUCGAUUCAAAAUCCAAUCCAAUGAAUCAAUCUUGUGCUUCUUUUGAUUUCAGUAUCUUGAGCAGGAGAUGACGAUGACCAACCACCAACUAAUGCAUAAAAACAGAUUGUUCCAAUCUGGAAGACCGUUGAUAUUCAAUCGUUCCUUAAAAGAGUCUUCUUCUUUUUGGAGGUAUGAUCAACAAACUGAAUUGAAAGUUGGGCUCUUUUUAACUUUUUAUUCCAGAGUCUUCUUCUUCAGAAACAAAAACACAAGUUACUGAGUCUGAGUAUGAUGAUGAUGAUGAUGAUGAUGAUGAUGAUGAUGAUGAUGAUGGUGCAGUAGAGAGAGGGGACCUGAGAAUAGGUUAUAGAGAGACAAAAGAAAAAUAGAGAGAGAGAGAGCCUGAACGGAAGGGGAUCCGGCCAUGGCCUGCGGCCGGCCACCCUGUUUUGGUGACCAUCUCCGUCUUCUGCUCCCUGAUCCAGCUAUUUAUCACUAUUCGCUAUGUAGCAUAUAAGUACCUUGUCGCUAUUCGGCAUUAACAGCUAUGAGUCUCAAAGCCAAUUGUAGCGUCCAAAUUGCAUUUUCUGGCGAUUCGAUAGUUUUUCGAAUUUGAAGGCAUUGUUUGUUUUAUUUUUUAAUUUGUUUAGUUUUAUUCAUCGAUCAAGGGUUGCUGGAGGUGCAUCAUCCGGGAAGAAAACAGUAGGUGAUAUGAUCAUUGAUCAGCUUCACGAUCAGCGGGUUGUACUCGUUAACCAGGACUCAUUUUAUCAUAGUUUGACUUCUGAAGAACUUUUAAAGGUUCAUGAGUACAAUUUUGAUCAUCCUAAUGCUUUCGACACUGAAAAGUUACUAUCACCAAUGGAGAUGUAUGCGAUAUGAUGAACAUGAAGAUAUUUGUCGAUACAGAUUACUUCUAGUCAUUAAGUCUGGUUUUUCAUGCACAUGUUGUAUGGAUGACCUUUGUUGGAUUCUAAAGGAAAUCUAAUUAGGAUCAACACUGCCAUAUUCACUCAAACAGGGACUUCAGAGAGCUGGCUAGCCAGGAAAUCUAAUUGGGAUCAACAUUGGACUAGAUCUGUAGCUGCCUUAAUUCUUGCAAUAGCAGUCUGCUGAAACACUUGAGAAGCUUUUAUUUCUUUCUUUAACUCAUUUAAUCAGCCCUUCGUAUUCUAGUUUUUAAUAUUUUUGAAACCUGGUGAUUUUUUUCCUCUUUUGUUUAAACAUGUGUUAUUUUGUUGUGCAGGUUGAUAUGAACAUGAAUAACAACUUCCUUUUUCAAAAGUUUUUGUUUGUUGGAGUUCUUAUUGAUGUUGAAGCCCUCCAUUUUUCGAGCCAACGAUCUCUUUUGCAAUCUAUUCUGCUAGCCAUAGUAGUCUAUGAGGAUUGAGGACGCAUGAUUACUCAAGAUUUUAUGCUUCUUAUUUCUUUAAUUGUUUUUAAUUUCUUUGUUAAAUGUUAAGACUUUAUGUUAGAUAAUGUUAUAACUUAUUUAUGGUUAGUGAUUUUGUUAUGAACAUGCUUAUUUGAAAUAUAAUGAAGUUUUAUUUCUUUUGUUA